rnacentral:lncRNA from 1 species
AUUCUAAUGUUCUCUAUUGCAUAUGAUGAUUAUAGUUCUUGAAAACUUCCGGUACAAAGUGCGUAUCAAAGGUAUAAUUGUUAUUUGGGAAAAUGCCUGCACAAAAACAUCUAGACUAAAGCCUUAUCCAAUGAAAUUUUAUUUGAGAGCUCAUUCCAAUAAAACUACAUAAAAAGACAAAUUUACCCUCACAUUCAACUAACCCUAUAUUUUUAGUUUUCACCGAUCUAAACUCUCUCUCUCUCUCNNNNNNNNNNNNNNNNNNNNCUCUAACUACUCUCUCUCUCUCUCUCUCUCUCUCUCUCUCUCUCUCUCUCUAAUGUGAAUCACGUCGCCGGCGAAGCACCGGCGCGAGGCUAGAUCCCUCACGUCGGCCUUCGUCAUCGCCUGACCUAACCGUCACAUCUCUUCCAUCUCCGACUAGUCCUCUUUCAGAGAUUUUUCCAUCUCCUCCAUCUCUGUCGUGAGAGGUUGAGACUCUGAGGUCUCUUUUAUUCCACCUUUAUGUAGCUCUACGAUGCGCCCAAUCACCCAGUCCCCAGCGCUGUCGCCGUCGUCUCUUCUGUCGCAGCUCAACCUUGUCGUCCCACUCACCGGCGCCACCACCACUGCCUUCUCCCUCCUCCUCUUCCUCCUCGUCUGCUUCCGCAAAAUCACCCGCAACCGCACCGCUCGGGAAGCCGACUCCAAGCCGCCUCACCACUUCUCCUACUCCCUCCUCCGACACGCCACCAACUCAUUCUCCCCCACGUGCCGCCUCGGCCAGGGCGGCUCCGGGUCCGUGUUCCUCAGAACGCUCCAGCACGCCGGGAAUGACGUCGCCGUGAAACUAAUGGAUUAUUUGUCCACAAAGAGGUGAGAUGGGAAAGAUUUGAUGUAAUACACUGUUUUGUUUUACAAAUUUUAGAAAUUAUAAUAGUGAUUUUUGAACAUAAAGUAUAUUUUAACAUGAUUAUUGAGGCCAAUUGCACGUUAUUGGGGUCAGUUGCACAUUACUGGGCGUCAGUAACACAAUUACUGAGGGUCAGUAAUUAAGUUACCCGGGGUCAAUAGCCUUUUAGGGAAUCAUUACCCAGUUAUUAGGGGUCAGUAACUCAGUUCCCGCGGCCGGUGACCAAAGUAACUCAGUUCCGGCGGUUGGUGACCAAAGUAACUUAGUUACUGGGGGUCAGUAAUCGAGUUUCCAGUAACUGAAAUCCGGCGACAGGAGAAAUAAGUUGAUUAUUGGGGGUCAGUAACCCGAUUAUUAGGUGUCAAUAACUUAAUAAGUUGAUUAUUGGGGGUUAGUGACCCGAUUAUUAGGGGUCAGUAACUUAAUAAGUUGGGGGUCAGUAACUGGUUAUUGGGGGUCAGUAACCCAGUUAUUGGGGGUCAGUAAUUGGUUAUUGGAGUCAGUAACCAAGUUAUUAGGGGUCAAUAACUGCUUAUUGGGGGUCAGUAACUGAUUAUUGAGGGUCAGUAACUGAUUAUUAGGGGUCAGUAACCGAGUUAUCGGUGACCGAAAUCCGACGACCGAAGAAAUUCCGGGGGUCAGUAACUGAUUAUUGAGGGUCAGUAAUCGAGUUAUCGGUGACCGAAGAAAUUCUGGUGACUGGUGACCGGAGUCCGGCGACCGGUAACCGGAGUCCAGUGAGGUUCCGGCAAAGUCUUCUCACCGUUUCACUUUCUCUCUCUUUAUACAUGUUAAAGUGGUAAGGGUAAAAUUGUCUUAAAAAUAUACAAAAAUUAUUAUUUUAUUAUGACUUUAAUAAAAAUUUAUGUAUUUUGACAUAAACAAGAACACCUUAUAUUGAAAUGAGCUCAUGUCUAUUAAAUUCAUUGGAAUGGGUAAUAAGAGAUUUAAAUUAGUACUAAAUGGGCAUUUUCUCUUGUUAUUUUGUUGAGGGUAUAAUUGUUAUUUCGUUGUUUAAGUUGGUUCUUGGGAAUUAAAAAUCUGAUUUUGUUAACAGGAAUAAAAUUCUUAAAAUUAAGGUUAAUGGACAAUGACCCUAAAUUUAACCCUAUUUAUAUAGAUUCC